rnacentral:lncRNA from 1 species
UUGUGGCGGAGACGGUGUGGUGGCGGCGGCUGCAGUGGCGAUUGGGAUGGAGGCCGGCAGAGGUGGAGACGGCUGAGGGUUGGUGGUGGAAUUUGGUGGGCAGCGGUGGGCGGUGGGUGACGGUGGGUUUGUGAUGGGUUGAUAUGGGGAAGGUGGCGAGUGUGGGUGGCGGUUGUGGCGGAUGGUGGUGGGUGUAGGUGGCGGUGGUGGCUGAUGGUGGUGGUGAAAGUGAAUUGAGGGAGGGAGGCGGCAAGAGUGGAG